AAUGAACGCUGGCGGCGUGCUUAACACAUGCAAGUCGAGCGAGGCUGAGGGGGCAACUCCUCAGUUUAGUGGCGGACGGGUGAGUAACACGUGGGUAACCUGCCCGGAAGUGGGGAAUACCUCGGGGAAACUCGAGCUAAUACCGCAUAACAUCUUUAGGACGAUGGUCCUGACGAUCAAAGCGGGGUCGCAAGAUCUCGCGCUACCGGAUGGGCCCGCGCCUGAUUAGCUAGUGGUGGGGUAACGGCUCACCAAGGCUUCGAUCAGUAACCGGCCUGAGAGGGCGAUCGGUCACACCGGAACUGAGACACGGUCCGGACUCCUACGGGAGGCAGCAGUGGGGAAUCUUGCGCAAUGGGCGAAAGCCUGACGCAGCAACGCCGCGUGGAGGAUGAAGGCCCUUGGGUUGUAAACUCCUGUCGGCUGGGAAGAAUCUUCCGGGCUAAUACCUCCGGAGGUUGACUGUACCAGCAAAGGAAG
rnacentral:rRNA from 1 species